GUUCAGAGUACGAAAAAAAUUGUUUGAAUCCAUAGUCUAUCCGAAUCUAUGAAAAUGGAAAAACCAACUAUUGUGCUUUCCUUCCCCAUGCUGCUAUUACAGCUGCAAUGUCAUUGAAAUAUCAUUCCAGUAGAUGCCGACGGUGGCAAGUCGAACCAACUCCAUGAUGCAACCAUGAAAAACACGGUCCUUCUCCUUGUAAAUUACGGUCUUGCUACAAACAUGAUCAAAUUUGUAUUCCAUAGGUGUGUUUCUUAAAGAAGUUUAUAAGUCAACUUGUACUUCUGUAUUCAAGUCAACUUGUGACCUAGCUUACAUUCAUAGUUGCAAAACUUAAUAGAGUUUUCGCCCUCGUUAGAAGAGUUGAUAUUUAUCGAAUCAAGAUUUACUUAACUUUUGUUAAUUGAUAUUCGGUAUUCUCUGAUUCAAUGUCUUUCAAUUCUAGAUUGGAGGCAAAGCAUGUUGGUGAAUGUUAAAUGCCUUAAUGAAGGAAGGAACUUGUAGUUAUAACAUGCAGG
rnacentral:lncRNA from 1 species